CAAAGGAGUGAUCCGGUGGCGGAUGGGCAUGCGGCGCAUUAGCUAGACGGCGGGGUGACGGCCCACCGUGGCGACGAUGCGUAGGGGUUCUGAGAGGAAGGCCCCCCACACUGGGACUGAGACACGGCCCAGACUCCUACGGGAGGCAGCAGUGAGGAAUAUUGGUCAAUGGGCGGAAGCCUGAACCAGCCAAGUCGCGUGAGGGAUUAAGGCCCUGCGGGUCGUAAACCUCUUUUGCCGGGGAGCAGUGGUCCGGACGCGUCCGGGCCGGGAGAGUACCCGGAGAAAAAGCAUCGGCUAACUCCGUGCCAGCAGCCGCGGUAAUACGGAGGAUGCGAGCGUUAUCCGGAUUUAUUGGGUUUAAAGGGUGCGUAGGCGGGCAUUUAAGCCGGCGGUCAAAUGUCGGGGCUCAACCCCGGCCUGCCGUCGGAACUGGGUGCCUUGAGUGGGCGAGAAGUAUGCGGAAUGCGUGGUGUAGCGGUGAAAUGCAUAGAUAUCACGCAGAACCCCGAUUGCGAAGGCAGCAUACCGGCGCCCUACUGACGCUGAGGCACGAAAGUGCGGGUAUCGAACAGGAUUAGAUACCCUGGUAGUCCGCACAGUAAACGAUGGAUGCUAUCUGUCCGGGCCGAAUGAGGCCUG
rnacentral:rRNA from 1 species